rnacentral:rRNA from 1 species
GACGAACCGUGCGAACGUUGUUCGGAAUCACUGGGCUUAAAGGGCGCGUAGGCGGCAAUUCAAGUCCGGGGUGAAAGCCCCCAGCUCAACUGGGGAAGUGCCUUGGAAACUGGAGUGCUCGAGGGAGGUAGGGGUCGAGGGAACUUCUGGUGGAGCGGUGAAAUGCGUUGAUAUCUGGAGGAAUACCGGUGGCGAAGGCGGCAUCCUGGACCAUAACUGACGCUGAGGCGCGAAAGCUAGGGGAGCAAACGGG